AGAAAGCAAUCAUUCAGAGCCGACAGUUUCCUUUCCGAUUCCUUGCUGCCUACAAAGUCAUCAUGGAGCUUCAGACAUUUGCCUCAGCGACAAAGAAACCACAAUCCUCUGUUAAAGAAAUCCUCAAGGGAAUCCAGAAAAAGAUUCCCCAGAGCAGGCAAUUUAAAAGCCUGGACUGGGCCACAACAG